AGGACGAACGCUGGCGGCGUGCCUAACACAUGCAAGUCGAGCGAGGAGAUCCUUCGGGAUGAUCCUAGCGGCGGACGGGUGAGUAACACGUGGGCAACCUGCCUCAUAGAGAGGAAUAGCCUUCCGAAAGGGAGAUUAAUACCUCAUAACAUUGCAGUUUCGCAUGGAACAGCAAUUAAAGGAGCAAUCCGCUAUGAGAUGGGCCCGCGGCGCAUUAGCUAGUUGGUGAGGUAACGGCUCACCAAGGCGACGAUGCGCAGCCGACCUGAGAGGGUGAUCGGCCACAUUGGGACUGAGACACGGCCCAGACUCCUACGGGAGGCAGCAGUGGGGAAUAUUGCACAAUGGGGGAAACCCUGAUGCAGCCAACGCCGCGUGAGUGAUGACGGCCUUCGGGUUGUAAAGCUCUGUCUUCAGGGACGAUAAUGACGGUACCUGAGGAGGAAGCCACGGCUAACUACGUGCCAGCAGCAGC
rnacentral:rRNA from 1 species